CCUACGGGAGGCAGCAGUGAGGAAUAUUGGUCAAUGGACGAGAGUCUGAACCAGCCAAGUAGCGUGAAGGAUGACUGCCCUAUGGGUUGUAAACUUCUUUUAUAUGGGAAUAAAACGUUCCACGUGUGGGAUUUUGUAUGUACCAUAUGAAUAAGGAUCGGCUAACUCCGUGCCAGCAGCCGCGGUAAUACGGAGGAUCCGAGCGUUAUCCGGAUUUAUUGGGUUUAAAGGGAGCGUAGGUGGAUUGUUAAGUCAGGUGUGAAAGUUUGCGGCUCAACCGUAAAAUUGCAGUUGAAACUGGCAGUCUUGAGUACAGUAGAGGUGGGCGGAAUUCGUGGUGUAGCGGUGAAAUGCUUAGAUAUCACGAAGAACUCCGAUUGCGAAGGCAGUUCACUGGACUGCAACUGACACUGAGGCUCGAAAGUGUGGGUAUCAAACAGGAUUAGAUACCCGUGUAGUC
rnacentral:rRNA from 1 species